AAAAAGUCCAUUGGUGAUAUGGGGGUUGUCUGUGUCAUGCAUGCCGGGAGUCGAUAGAACAUUCAUAAUUCACUAUAUCUGACCUGAAGUGCUGGGAGGUGUGCCUCAACAUGCUUUCUUUAUUUAAUCAUUAUAAUUAACAAUCCAAUUCUAACCUAACAUUUAACUCACAAGUCAACGCUGACAAACUAUACCCUGUACGUAAAAGAUUUAGAUUUUUGAAUGACCAACACAAGACAUGAAAAAUAACUAAAUACAGCAACAACAUUCAGUUCUCAGAAAUCAGUGUCAUUUAUUCAGCAUCAAUUUGAAUUCAGAUUCCUGUGCUUUAUGACAUGUUGUUCAUUAACACUUUAUAACAGAGUUCAAUACAGUUAGCUAACAUGAACUACACUAACAAUGCAUUUACAGCAUUUAUUAAUCUAGUCUACAUGUACUGAUACUAUAUAAGCAUUUAAGAUACAUGAAUUCAUACUAAACAGUUAUAAUAACGUUUUUGUGAUUUCACAUUACACUAGAUAAAUAAAUACUGUAAAAAUUGUUGUGAUAAUGCAUUAACUAAUGUUUCCUUAUUGAAUGUUUUUGUAAAGUGUUAUCAAAAAUCAGAUAAUGUUACACAUAUAUUUUUAGAGAGAUUUUUCUUUAAAGAGAAAGUGAACAAUUGCAGACAACGCCUCAGGCCCUGAGCACCCUACACCCAAACCAUCAAGCUGACUGAAUUUAAAAUAUAUAAACAGUCCUUAAAACCAUUGGGUGAAACAAACAAAAACUAUUUACAAUACAAUGAGCAAUAUGGAAGAAACAGAUUAACACUUUAUUGUAAGGUAAAUUUAACAAUAACAAUAAAAAUUAAUUAAAGCCACUCUUCAUAAAACUUUCCAACAGUGGAAAAAACCCCAGGUGAAGAAAGGCCCUUUAAAGCGAUAGUUCACCUAAAAAUGAAAAUUUGAUGUUUAUCUGCUUACCCCCAGGACAUCCAAGUUGUAGGUAACUUUGUUUCUUCAGUAGAACACAAACUGAGAUUUUUAACUCAAACAGUUGCAGUCUGUUAGUCAUAUAUUGCAAGUGGAUGGAAAACUCGGCUAAAACAUAAAAAAAAAAAAAAAAAAAACAUAAACAAACCCAAAUUAAACCCUGCGGCUCAUGACGAUACAUUGAUGUGUAAAGACACAAAACGAUUGGUCUGUGCAAGAAACUGAACAGUAUUUAUAGUUUUUUUUAUUUAUUUAUUUUUUUUUUACCUCUGAUGCACUAAAAUGCCUGAACUGUCUGAAAUGUAUCUACAGUAUCUCUCAAAUGGACCAUUGCCACUCCCAAUUGAGAUUGUAUAUAGAGUGUCAAUGGUCCAUUUGAGAGAUAGGUGGCGGUAAUGCACUUAUAAGUCUGUGAUCCACCGUAAAGCAAGCAAGCAAGAAGAAGAUGCCUCAUGCGCAGGCUGUGUCGAGGACACGCAGUACAGUUCAGGCAAUGAAGUGCAUCAGAAAAACAAAGUCACCUACAUCUUGGAUGCCCUGGGGGCCAAUAGGAGAAGUCCAGCAAACAGGACACCGAUGGCUGCUGGACCCAGUCUUGAGGAAAAAGGAAGACGGCCACGGCACGUGUUGAUUCCCGUACACUCACACACAACCACCUGAAGAACGUCUUCUCUUUGCAGCCCCUGCUGAUCCUGUAUCUUCAAAGGAAUGGAGUAGUUGCCAUAUGGCAGACUCGUCAAACUUAUCAGAGAGGUGUUUGUUCCUGCGGUACAAAGCCAGCAAAACAGGGUUAACUAAAACCGAAACAAAA
ensembl:lncRNA